CAUUGAAACACCGAUUCCCAUACAAUCACCAAUCAAGUUAAGCAACAUUGAGCUUGGUCAGUACCUAGAUGGGUAACUACUUGGGAAUACCACGUGCUGUAAG